rnacentral:tRNA from 1 species
GAAGAGGUGGCUGAGUUUGGUCGAAAGCGCCGUUCUCGAAAAGCGGUAGACUAGCAAUAGUCUCGAGGGUUCGAAUCCCUCCCUCUUCG